rnacentral:rRNA from 1 species
GAUGAACGCUAGCGGCAGGCCUAACGCAUGCAAGUCGAGGGGGAAGUUACUUUCGGGUGACUGAGACCGGCGUACGGGUGCGUAACGCGUAUACAAUCUGCCUUUCACUGGGGGGUAGCCCGAAGAAAUUUGGAUUAAUACCCCAUAGUAUAUAGGGACGGCAUCGUUUUUAUAUUAAAGCUUAGGUGGUGAAAGAUGAGUAUGCGUUCUAUUAGCUAGUUGGAGAGGUAACGGCUCCCCAAGGCGAUGAUAGAUAGGGGUUCUGAGAGGGAUGUCCCCCACACUGGUACUGAGAUACGGACCAGACUCCUACGGGAGGCAGCAGUGAGGAAUAUUGGACAAUGGUCGGAAGACUGAUCCAGCCAUGCCGCGUGCAGGAUGAAGGUCUUAUGGAUUGUAAACUGCUUUUGUAAGGGAAGAAUAAGGGCUACGCGUAGUUUGAUGACGGUACCUUACGAAUAAGCAUCGGCUAACUCCGU